AUUUUAUGGUUUUCUAUAUAAUCAAAGUAUGUUAAUUUUGUAAAGUUUGCGGUUUUGUUCUGAUUAUAAUAAGCGUAAGCAGAAAUAUAAGUUUAGAUCUUAAAAUAUCAUAUUGGUUAUGAUUGAUAAACUUUAGAGUAAUACAAAGUAAAUGAAAAAUUAAAAAAACAGAAAAAAAAUUGAAAUAUGAAAAAAACUAUCGUUAAUUGUAUUUCUAUUGCAAAUUCAAAAGUAGAAUUUAGAAUAUUUUCUAUUUUGUCAAUGGAUAGACGCUUAAAAACAAUAUUUAGAUUUAAAAUUAAAAUAAUAUUUAUCUUGAUUGGUAGGAUUUUAGUUAAAUAUGGUGUAAAAUUAAAUUUUGAGUAAAAGCUUACUCCAUAUUUACCGUCCAGUCAAAACCAUCAACUUGUGCUAUUGUCAUCCAAAUUAAUUGUAGUCUUUUGUCGAUAAAGGGACAAUAAAAAGCUAUAUGUGCAAUAAACUCGAAGAAUAAAGUAAAAAGUGGAAAUAAAGUAUAAGUUUGGCACUCAGGAAGAUCCAACGGCUACAAAGGUUUUAUAAGAAACGAACGGUUGCGAGAUUGCGCACAAGCGGAAAUAGCGAGAAGAUGACGUGGCGUAUUUAUAGUGGAGGAGAAGAUAUUUCCCCAAGGGCGAGGCUGGUGGUUAUGGAUCAGGUAAUAUACACGUGGAUGGUCUUCUCAUCUACAGUGGGACCCAAUUUAAACUAGUGGCUUGACAAGCAUCAACGUAGCCUUUUAAAAACCGGUUAUAUUAUUUUAUCAAAUUAUAAUUCAACUCAAUUUAAAAUAUUAUAUUCUUAAACACUACGACCUAAAAGUCCCAAGUGUUUCGUGAAUAUCAAUUUUGUACCCCUUAAAGUCGUUUUUGUUGAAAUUUCAUAAUGUCCUAACAUGUAACAAAGCCUCACAAUCCUAAAUUAAAUGUCAUUAUUAAUAACCGACCAUUAUUGUUUUAUUAUUAUUUUUGCUUUUUACUCUAAUCUCUAAGAUUUGCUUGAACUUGGUCCAACACAAGAUCCAACUGAAUAUGGUUUCAGUGAAUUGUUUGAUGGUGGCAUAUGAACACACAUAGGGUAGUUGAUGUAGAUAGAUAUUUAGAAUAAAUAUCAUUCUAAAUAUCUUAAUGAUUUAGUGUUUUAUUUAUUAUUUGGAUAAUUAUCUUUAAUGUUUUAGGGUUUUAUGAUUUCUUAUAUAUAGCCGUCUAGGCUUAAGUUUGUAUUGAGAUUUUGAUUAAUUAAUAAAAAAGGAGUUUUCCUAAAGAGGUUUCUAUAAACCACUGAGAAGAGUAUUCUCAACCCUAAAGAGCUUUUGAUUAAGCACUGUGAAGAGUAUUCACAAACCCUAGUUUCCGGGUAUUCUUAGAAUCAACGGAUCUAGUUCUAUCCCUAGAAGCUUCCGCUACAUCAGUAGUAUAUGUUAACGUCGUGAUGUUAAUAUAGUUAUAAUUAACGAAUAGUUAAUGGUGUAUAUAAUGGUAUAAAAAGAUGUGUGAUGGUGUGUUAAUUCUAUGGUUUUUAAUCAGCUUUAAUAAAUGUCUUAUAAUAUUGUAUAUUACCAAUUUGUGAAAGAAAAUUAUACGAUUAGUGAAAGCCUUUAGGAAAAGUACAAAAUCCAAUGACAUAUAUUGUGAUAAACACGUUAAAUAAAUUAAUGCUAAUUUCAUAAUAAGAUUCUAAUUUAAUAGAAUAGAUGCAAAUUGGUUAUUUCAAAAUUUCAUCAAAAUAUUACAAUUAUUGCUAAAGAUAAAAUUGAUCUAUCACUAUUAUGUGACAAAUUUUGAAUGGUUAGUUUUUUUUUGUGCAAAUUUGACUGGUUAGUAUUUUCAUAGAUUCUCUCCUUUUAGGGCAUCUCCAACAAUGACACCAAAUUUGGUGUUGAAAUUAUACCAAAUUUGAUGUUUUGGUGUCAAUUUUUUUUUGUCAUCUCCAACAGUAACACCAAAUCUUAUACCAAAAGCAAUAUUAUAUAUUAUUUGAUGUUUUCAGUUUUAAAACUUUUAUAUUUCUAUUAUUUGUAAUUGAUAAAUAAUAAUUUUGUUAUAUCUGGAUUAAAUUUAUAUUUUAUUAUUUGUAAGUGAUAAAUAAUAAUAGUUAUUUACUAAUUUAUUUUGAAUAUAAUAAUAAAUAAAUAAAAAAAAAUUCUAAUUAUAUGAAAAUAACUUAAAAAUACAAAUAAUAUAAUAUUAUUUAUGUUUAAUUACAAAUUUGAUAGUAAUUGAUCUAUAUUAUUAAAUAAAACAUAUUAAAAUGUAUUUUAGAAAUUUUGUGUGAUGAAUAUUAUCACACCAAAUGUGAAAAUAAAUUUAAAACAAAAAAUAAUACAAUAUAUUUAUGUUUAAUUAUAAAUUUGAUAGUAAUUAAAUUAUAUUUUUAAAUGAAACAUAUUAAAAUAUGUAUUUUAAAGAUUUGGUGCGAUGAAUAGUAUUACACCAAAUUUGGUGUAAUUUUAUUCACAUUACAUCAAUUUGAUGUUUUGUUGGAGAUGAAAUUACACCAAAUUUGGUGUUUUGGUAUCUUGUUGGAGAUGAUUAUAGGACCUUAAGUCUAUUUUCAGUACAUGAAGACAAAACUUCAUGUAAGCAAAUGAAAGUCACACGUCCAACCAAACGGAGAGUCGUUUUAUUUAUCACAAUAUUUUAUACAUUUAGAAUAUACCCACGGGUAUUUUCCAGUUAAUACACUAAUAAUAGUAAACACACAGCAACACAUUUUAAAUUUUUAACGGAUGCAAAACCACAAAAUACUAGCGCUCCAAAUAUGUCAUAGUAUCAUUCGCGGUUCUUAUCAUCGAUGCUUAGAGAGCGGUUGCGGUCAUAUAGCUUUUGCGAUACGCGGCUGCGUAUGCUGGAGACAGCAUUUGGCUAACCCCUUCAGCCUUAAGAUGAGGAACCAACAUUUUCAUAGACAACUAGGGAUACACAUAA